GAUGAACGCUGGCGGCGUGCUUAACACAUGCAAGUCGAGCGAAGCGGCUGAAUUGAUUCUUCGGAUGAUUUUCAGUUGACUGAGCGGCGGACGGGUGAGUAACGCGUGGGUGACCUGCCCCAUACCGGGGGAUAACAGCUGGAAACGGCUGCUAAUACCGCAUAAGCGCACAGAGCUGCAUGGCUCGGUGUGAAAAACUCCGGUGGUAUGGGAUGGGCCCGCGUCUGAUUAGGCAGUUGGCGGGGUAACGGCCCACCAAACCGACGAUCAGUAGCCGGCCUGAGAGGGCGACCGGCCACAUUGGGACUGAGACACGGCCCAAACUCCUACGGGAGGCAGCAGUGGGGAAUAUUGCACAAUGGGGGAAACCCUGAUGCAGCGACGCCGCGUGAGCGAAGAAGUAUUUCGGUAUGUAAAGCUCUAUCAGCAGGGAAGAUAAUGACGGUACCUGACUAAGAAGCCCCGGCUAACUACGUGCCAGCAGCCGCGGUAAUACGUAGGGGGCAAGCGUUAUCCGGAUUUACUGGGUGUAAAGGGAGCGUAGACGGCGAGGCAAGUCUGAUGUGAAAACCCAGGGCUUAACCCUGGGACUGCAUUGGAAACUGUCUGGCUCGAGUGCCGGAGAGGUAAGCGGAAUUCCUAGUGUAGCGGUGAAAUGCGUAGAUAUUAGGAAGAACACCAGUGGCGAAGGCGGCUUACUGGACGGUAACUGACGUUGAGGCUCGAAAGCGUGGGGAGCAAACAGGAUUAGAUACCCUGGUAGUCCACGCCGUAAA
rnacentral:rRNA from 1 species